rnacentral:rRNA from 1 species
UACGUAGGGUGCAAGCGUUAUCCGGAAUUAUUGGGCGUAAAGAGCUCGUAGGCGGUUUGUCGCGUCUGCUGUGAAAACCCGGGGCUCAACCCCGGGCCUGCAGCCGAUACGGGCAGACUAGAGUUCGGCAGGGGAGACUGGAAUUCCUGGUGUAGCGGUGAAAUGCGCAGAUAUCAGGAGGAACACCGGUGGCGAAGGCGGGUCUCUGGGCCGAUACUGACGCUGAGGAGCGAAAGCGUGGGGAGCGAACAGG